CGGGGGUGGGCACUCGGCUACUUACCGGGGGCGAAGAGAGCCGGGACCCCGGGGCCCCGGGCCGGACAGCGGAGAUGCCCCAAACUGACACGGCCGCCAUCUUGGAGACAGUUGGUGGGAAAGAACCGAGGAUCCCCUCUGUGCCAUCCAGGGCAUCCCCGUAUUCCAGAUCACCCUGGACAGUGACAAUCUCAGGAGAUACAGAAGAAACAUUUGACAAAAUUCAACAUCUAUUCCUGAUAAAAAUCUCUCAGCAAAUUAGGAAUAAAAGAGAAGUUCUCACACUGAUAAUGAAUGUGUAGGAAAAAUCUACAACUAACAAGAUCAUGAUAAGAGACCAAUACUUUCCCUAUAAGACAUGAUCGAGGCAAAGGUGUCUACUGUCACCACUUCUAUUCAACAUUGUGCUCUGGAUUCUAGCUAGAACGGUUGAUGAUCAAAUAAGGUCUGCCUGAUUUAGAGCUCCAUAUUUAACAACACCUGAAGCAACUCUAACUUUAUAAAAUCAAAGCAUCAUUUGAUGAAUAAAGACCACAGGUUUCCAGCAAUAAGGCUAAUUGGAGGGUCCACAAAAUAUCUAAAGCACCAUGAAAAUAUUACAGUCAUUUAAAUAAAUAGAUGCAUCUGAAAAAUCAAGUGGAAUUCUUCUGAUGGCAGGAAUAAACCAGACAGAAGUCUGUGGAAGGAAGGAAGUAUACCCUAAAGCUGCUGCGUAAUGACCCACAGCCUCUGCUGUAUGGUACCUGGUACUAGGCAUUCAGUCUACGCAGAAUGGGGAUUUCCACACCCCCCAAAAAAUAAAGCUGGGACUCAGCAAUGGUGAGACUGAGCUAGGAGAAUACACACCUAGAAGAGGCAGAUGGCAACAAAAAGUUUCCAAAUCGUCUUUGUGCAGAAGUUUUUAAAAAGAAAGAAAAAGCUUCCCUUGA